UAGAUAAUGGAUUCCUAUUGCUACAGG
rnacentral:piRNA from 1 species